GUUAUUUUCUUCACUCUGCUUUAGUCCUAAACAGCCCAGCAUUGAAAAUAAAGAUCCAAGAUUUGCCAGUCUCCCUUAGUUAGGGUUUUUGAAGUUGUUGUCUGUACACAUACAUAUUAUUUUACAUAACCAGCUCCUAGCUCAAAAGUAAAUAACUAUUAUGAGCUAUAAAUCCCUUUAAACAGAAAGCUCCUUCUUACAACUCUGCCUCAUUUAGUAAAACCUUACAUAGAAAAAUCAGAACUUACACAGUAAAUAAAUUAGAAGGUAAUUGUUUGUAUGAUAGAAGAAUUGACCAAAGGGAAUAAUUAGAUAAAUACUUUUCCUAAUAAUUGUAAAAAUAUGACAUUAUUUCACACAAAAUUUUCUCAAACAUUUCUCUUUUAUUGGCCCUGUUUCUAUUUUUCUCAAUCUCUUUAUUUAUUCCACACUUUUUAUAACUUUCACAACAUACAUUGUUUAACUUCAAAAAUUUUUCUCAUGCUCAAAUAAGAUGAAUUUAUUCCUUUUUUUAUAAUGCCUUGGAGUAGAAGAGAAAUAAAAUGUAGAAUUUUCCUAAAAUCUAUCCCAAAUCUUAGAUGCUGUAGUUAAUCGGUCAAAGGGAAGUGUGUGGACAGCUUUGAAAUUAAGAUUUUAAAAUAUUAUUUCCUAUAAAAAUUAUAAAUUACCCAGCUUCUAUAAGUUCCGCCUUUCUAAAGUUAGAAUCUGCUCCUGUUUCUGCUUUUAAAUGUCUAAGAAGGACUAUUCUAGAGAAACCAGCAGACAAACCACUGUGCUGACCCCAAAGUCAAGCGGUGAGCAGGAACAUCAUUCUGGAAGGGAGAGAUCCCCAGAUAAUUUGUUUCAGUAGGUUGGCAUAACCUGGGAACCAAAGUGAUUACCUCAAGUGUCCUUGGAAACCUCUUUAUUAAUGAUUUGAUUGAUCAGAACUGGAGAGGACGAUUCUGCCCAUCUCCUACGUCUGUAGGACAAUCUGGAGGAAGAACCAACAGGAUGAGGACCAGCUUCCUUUUUGAAGAAAAUGUUCUGCCCACCCUGAAGAGAUCUGGAUAUAUCUCAGAAAUGCUGAACCUGAGCCAACAUAAAGGAGUUAAUUUACUCAAUCAACUUAUAGUAAGUGGUUCCAGUACACCAAGCCCUGUGAUAGGCCCAGGAGUAACAAGGAGAAUCUCCAUCUUCAAAGAGGAUACACAUUCAACCGGUGGUUCUCAAUCCAAGGGGCACAUUCAAGCUUUAAAAUCUACUGAUAUCCACUCCAAAUAAUUAAAUCAGAAUCUCUCGGGGAGGGACCUACGCAGUAGAAUUGUUUAAAAUCUCCCCAUGUGGUUUUAAUGGGAAGCCAGAAUUGAAAUCCACUGGAAUAAUAGUUAAUAGCUCCCUUUUGCAUAAGCACCAUCAACCAUGUUGUUCUGGAUUCUGAAAGCACAAAAGAACCCAGGAAAGUCUGGCUACUCCUUGUGGGCCAAGAAUCAGUGCUACCAGCAUCACCUGGGAGCUCGUUAGAAAUGCAGAGUCUCAGGCCCUAUUUCAGACCUACUGAAUGAGAAUCUGAAUUUUAACAAGAUUCCCAGGUAAUUUGGAUGCGCGUUCAUUUUGGAAAAUACUGAAUCGAGGCAACAAUCCUGUUCUCGAGAAGUUUCCAAUCCACAGGGGAAAAUACACAUAAAUACAGAUAAUUGCAAAACAUCUUGUAAGCUCCGUGAUGAGAGGUGUAAAAGUUAUUCCAGGAGGACCUACUCCAGGAAGAUUGAUGGAGUGGACAGUGCUGGAUAAAGUUGUAUGUGAAGAGUGUAGAUUAAUCAGGAAGAACAGACAGCAGCAAACAGUGUUGCUGAAACAGAAGUGGAGACAAGGAGUGUGAGAGAGGCAGGUACGGUCUCCCAGAUCUUCAAGUGGCCCUCUCUAGGCCUCGGAGUCAAACUUGAGUCAUCCCCUCCUGCUCUGAAAAUACUCUUCCAGGCUGGUGAUCUUCAAACUCGUCAAGGUAAAGUUUGCUCACAAAGUGCAUUGGAAAUAUAAAGAAAAAGCUUAAAUUCAUUUUUUUAAAAAGCAGAGGAAAAAUGAAAGGGAUCUAGUACAGCAGUGAUCUUUCCUAAAUAGGCUCUCAUGCUACCUGUCCUAGUCAGCUAGGGCUGCCAUAACGAGAUACCACGGACUGUGUGGCUCAACAAAAGAUGUGUAUUUUCUCACAUUUCCGGAGGCUGGAAGUCUAAGAUCAAAGUGCCUACGGAGUGGAUUUCUGGCGAGGACUCUCUCCUUGGCUGGCAGAUGGCUGUCUUCUCGCUCUAUCCUCAAAUGGCCUUUCUACUGUGUGUGUGGAGGGAGGGAGAGAUCUCUGAGUCCUCUUCCUCUUAUAAAGACACCAGUCCCACUGGGUUAGGCUCCCUUAAUAUCCAUUCCCACACAUAUUCCCCAGAUCUCUGUCUGUAUAAAUUAGAACACUCUAGUUAUUUUGGAGUGUAGCAUGUCUCUUUAUUUCAUUCACACUUCGUUCCUCACCUUUAGGGCCUGCUGGGACUUGAGUCUAGUUACAGGCUUAGAAAUAAAGAGGGGUUGUGGGGGUGGGUCCUGGGGAGA
rnacentral:lncRNA from 1 species